rnacentral:precursor_RNA from 8 species
CUGCCUGCAGAGUCGCACAGGAAAGCAAACAGCCCCGGUCUUGAAUCUGGUCCCAGACUAAACAUUUGGGCUGAUCAGUGACUGCGGCUGCUUGCAUGUCUGAUUCACGUCAGCAUUCAUU